rnacentral:rRNA from 1 species
GACGAACGCUGGCGGCGUGCCUAAUACAUGCAAGUCGAACGCAGUGGGGACGGGUGAGUAAAACGUGGGUAACCUCCCAUCAGAGGGGAUAAAACUUGGAAACAGGUGCUAAACCGAUACUGAUGGAUGGUGCCGCGGUGCAUUAGCUGGUUGGUGUGGUAACGGAUCACCAAGGCCACGAUGCAUAGCCGGCCUGAGAGGAUGAUCGGCCACACUGGGACUGAGACACGGCCCAGACUCCUACGGGAGGCAGCAGUGGGGAAUCUUCGACAAUGGGCGAAAGUCUGACCGAGCAACGCCGCGUGAGUGAAGAAGGUGUUCGGAUCGUAAAGCUCUGUUGUUAGAGAAGCGGUAUCUAACCAAAAAGCAACGGCUAACUACGUGCCAGCAGCCGCGGUAAUUC